AAAUCCGAGAGAGAAGGGGAAAAAAACCAGCCUAGGACACUGAUAUCAGUCUGUCUUGUUUCACCUGCUCAUAUGGUGCCAAUUGCAGAGGCCUUGCAGCAGGCACUUCAGACCCAAGGUAUUCGUGUGCAAUGGCUGUGACUGACACCUCAGCUCUGUGGACCACGUGGAGAAGACCUGCACAUGACCCUGCAAAUCAAGAUGGCAGCAGUGGGCUGUGUGCAGAAAUGCUGCCCCCAGCACUGUGAUCAAGAGCCUCAGCCCAGCU
ensembl:lncRNA